UACGGCUCAGUAACACGUGGAUAACCUGCCCUAAGGAAGGGGAUAACCUCGGGAAACUGAGGAUAAUACCCUAUAGGUUACAGACGCUGGAAUGCCCUGUAACCGAAAGUUCCGGCGCCUUAGGAUGGAUCUGCGGCCGAUUAGGUUGUUGUUGGGGUAACGGCCCAACAAGCCGAUAAUCGGUACGGGUUGUGGGAGCAAGAGCCCGGAGUUGGAUUCUGAGACAUGAAUCCAGGCCCUACGGGGCGCAGCAGGCGCGAAAACUUUACAAUGCGGGAAACCGUGAUAAGGGAACCCCGAGUGCCUGUAUAUGCAGGCUGUCCAGGUGUCUAAAAAACACCUGAAGAAAGGGCCGGGCAAGACCGGUGCCAGCCGCCGCGGUAAUACCGGCGGCUCGAGUGGUGGCCACUUUUAUUGGGCUUAAAGCGUUCGUAGCUGGGUUGUUAAGUCUCUUGGGAAAUCUGACGGCUCAACCGUCAGGCGUCCAAGGGAUACUGGCAAUCUUGGAACCGGGAGAGGUGAGGGGUACUUCGGGGGUAGGAGUGAAAUCCUGUAAUCCUC
rnacentral:rRNA from 1 species